rnacentral:rRNA from 1 species
UACAGAGGAUGCAAGCGUUAUUCGGAAUCACUGGGCUUAAAGCGCGUGUAGGCGGGGCGGCACGUCGGUCGCUGAAAGCCCCCGGCUCAACCGGGGAACGGGCGCCGAUACGACCGCCCUCGAGGGACGUAGGGGGACCUGGAACUUCCGGUGGAGCGGUGAAAUGCGUUGAGAUCGGAAGGAACGCCCGUGGCGAAAGCGAGGUCCUGGACGUCUGCUGACGCUGAGACGCGAAAGCCAGGGGAGCGAACGGG